UCCAACAACAAAAAACGAUAACUUGGAUUAGACCGAAUCUAAAUAAAAUUUCCAUACAGCAACAUGAUUUUGAUCGUUCAGUUUUUAUGGCAGCUCUAUGCUAUAGUAGUCCGAAGAGGAAUAUUUCUUCGAAUAUUCUAGUGUUGCUUUAGACAAUUAUCCAUGCCAAAUUUCGUAACUAAAUUUUUAAAGUUCAGUUUGUAUGAUAGCUAUAUGGUUUAGCAGUUCCGACAGCUUAUUAGAGAGAAAAGCACGUGUUAAAAAUUUCAGAGUGAUACCUUAAAGAGUGAGGGACUAGUUCACGUAAAAUACAGAGGGUUAGACGGACAGCCAUGGCUUAAUCGACUCGAUCUCGUCAUGGUGAUCAUUUAUAUAUAUGUACCAUAUAUAUUUUAUAGAGUCUCUGACGUUUUCGUCUGGCUGUUACAAACUACGUAACAAACUUAAUAUAGGGUAUAUUAAGCUCGAGUUAUAAAAAUGAUUGUAACAAUCGACAAACCCUAAUUGAACCACUGUAGAUAACGUAAUGCAUUUAUGGUACUUAACAUACAUAACUACCCUUUUGCUUGCGGUCACAUAUUCUGUAUGCUGAUCAAUAGUGUUGUAACAGGAAUCGGUAAGUAUAUGUAUAUAACUUAUUGCAAACAUAUCUACAUAUGUAUGCACAUACAAUAUUGUUAAAUUAUACACGUGCGUGUAUGACAACAUAACACUGUGUACCUAGUGAGCUUUUGAGCAGUACCUAGACACGUAACUACAUCCAUACAUAUGAAUGAAUUUUAAAAGGAUGCUUUUGAGUUACAUAUCUACCUACCAUGCCUGUAUGAACUCACAUUCAGAAGUAAUUAUAUUGCGGUGAAGACGUUGGAUACACAAAGGAUUGCUUUAACGGUUAAAAGCCUUUAAUCAAAUUUCAAAAUUUGCAAACUAAAAUUUUUGUUGCCAAUUACCAAGUACUUAAGGGCAACAAAAAUAAUAUGCAAAGAAAAGAACGGAAACAAAUGUAUAGUAAAAAGUUAAGUUUAAAUAUUUCAAGAAAGGAAUAACAAAAACUUAAAAAUGGCAAACGGCUUUUAGUAAGUAUUCUUACAGGCACACAUAUUAAUUUUUAUGGCUCUGCAUUUGAUAUAGAUGGUUGACUUAUUUGUUUUACAAAGUUCUGUUUUGAAUUUUAUUGCACUUUCACUGUCACUUCGGCGAUUGCUAAGUAUUAACAGCAUUUUUUUUUAAUGUAAAUAUAUUUCAUCGAUUUUUAAUUUAAUGCUCUGUUUGGUUUUUUUUUUUUGGGUAUUUCUUAGUAUUAUGUAUAAAUAUAUGUAAAUGUUUAGCACAGUCAUAGUUUCAUUUACAUGAUUCCAACUUCAAUUCACUGAUAUCUAUAAAAACACAACGUUAUAGCAUUAGUAUGCAUUGAGGUUUAAAAAAUGCUAAUCGUCAUUUUAAAAGUAAAAACCAUAUUAUUGGUCUAUGAAAACAGUGAAAUCUUUGUUCUUCAUUUCAGUUUUUAUUAACAGUUUACAACGCAUUAAUUGCUUAAGUGAACAUACAAACAACAAGAUAUAUACACAUAUACCUAUGUCUGUAUGUACGUACAUACGCACAUUGUUUAAGUGUAGGACUAAUGAUGUGUACAACCACAUUUGUUGUGUCUGAAUCUAAGUCCAAAAAAAAUAAACCUUUCAAAAAUAUUUAAUAUCUAGUGAGCGCCCAGAAGGCACUAUGAAAUUAUCGAUUGAUUUAUGGAUAACACGGUAUGCUCCCUUUUUUUUGAAUAAACACUAAGAAACUGUUGUUUAAUCUUAUUGUGCUCUGACGAAAUUGUACAGGAAAGUAAAUUAUUGGCCGCCUACAUACAAACCUCAAAUUUCAAUUCAUUGCUGAAUAUGCUUUGGAGAUUUUUCAAAGAUAUUUCAAGAUUUUCACCAUAAAUUCUGCUCACCAUAAAUUCGUUCAUUACCAUAAAUUCUGCUCGUUGGAUGUUUUUAAGACACGAAUCUUACUGAACGAAAUCGGUUUAUUUUCUCUUUUAAUCGUUGGCUCAAAAACAUUCAGCGCAUUUUACAAUAACUAAGAUGCAAGAUAAUUUUGAUAAAGUAUUUGACUUAGAGAUUUUCUUAUAACUAAGAUGUGCGAUAAUUUUGAUAAAGAAAUAUUUCUUUUGGCUAUGCUUAUUGUAAGAACUAAUUUUUCGCGCAUAUUAGAAUGGGCGGUUAAACAAAGAACAAUGCAAUUUUUUUUUUAUUUUGUUCAUUUUAGAAUAUCAGAUAGUUAGUUAAAAGCGGAUAAUACUUGUGCACACUUAUUAUAUAUUUCUUAUACGUAUAAUGUCUGUAUGAGUAAAUACUUAUGUUAGGAAGAAAUUAUGAUAUUUUUCUUUCCAUCAAUACCGAAGAAUUGUUUUUAUUUAUUUGUUGUGAGGAAGAAAAAUUUUUAAACGGAGUAUGUUUUUGGCGAUUUGUUACUCAGAGGCUUUGUUAUAAAAAUAUUUGAUAUGGUAAUCCCUACUUUCCCAUUUUUCGGUUUAAAAAUUGUUGGUUUAGUGUUUUUGUUCUUACACAUAUGUACAAAUGUUUGGCAGCUGACGAUUUUUCAAAGUUAAAGAAAGAUGUUAAAUUUAGUUUUCUGAUAAUUAUAUAUACCUAAUUUGUACAGUACUAAAGUUUACGAAUUCAACAAUUUUUAUACAAACUAGUGGGAUAUAUGUAUUUACAUAUACAGCUCGAUGCACUAAAACUCAUAUAAUAUGUUGCAAAAUAAACGAUUUUGAGUAUUAAGGUUCGAAUAUGGCUAUUAGAGUUAGCACAGAAAUCUAAUGUGCAUAUAGGAAGAAAUAUUAAAAAGUACUUUUGGACUGAAUAAAAAUAAUAAAAUUAUUUUGUCCGGAAUCACAUGAAUAUCUAAAACAUACAUAUAUACAUGUGGCCGCUACCCCUGUAAUCCAUUUAUAAAGGUAUAGUUUCCAUAGGUUCCGUGCUUCUAGCGAGAACCGUCUUGUUCUAUGAGAUUGUCGUAGUCAGAAUCUGCUCUGUACACCAUGCGCCCAUAAAAGUAAGCAUGCACAUUGUAUACACUUGGGUUUUCAAUUUAAUUAUACUUUUGCGCGUUGUAAGUUUGUAAGAUAAAAUUUGUAAUAUUUUUUGAAAAAAAAUUGAAAUUUGCAUGCUAUCUUUUACCGGCGGUAAAUUGUUAUAUUGUCAUAAAUUAGUUGAUGGCGGUUGCAAUAACACUCGAGCUCGAGUUAUACGCUCACUCACUCAUUCUAUAUGCAAACGAAGAAUUAUUUAUGUACAAAUAUAUGGUUGCAUGUAUGCCCGCACUUGUGUUUGCACUUGUCUAUUGGCAAAUUAAAGCACAUAUACAACCUCACACGUGCGCUCUUUGAUUAACCAAUAAAUGGCAUUAAAACACGCACUAAUACACAGUAAACCAAUUAACAACAAAAGCCACGCAAUAAAUACGAGUAGACUUUUGAAAUACCGACGGUGUUUGACACCGUAGCUGCUCAGGCUUUGAUUAGUGCAUAUUAUUCGCUCUCGCUGCGAAAUACCUUAGUAUUUUCAAGACUUUUUUCUGAUCGUUGGUCAACAAGUGUUUGAUUAGGUGAUCACCACUAAUUUACACCCGACAAAUUAAAUAACAUAAGACGGUUCAGAAAGUAAUUCACACAACUUACAGCUGCAAAUUCGCGACAGAACGUUUGAACAAAUAUUAUCAGCUAAUAAGCUGCCACUAGCACUUUUUCUUUUAUUGAUCAUAUAAUUCUGCCUUAAUUUAUAUAUAUAUAUGUAUUUUUUUUUUAAUUAUACGAUACGAUUUUAUUUUUGAUAAUGAUGUAGCCGGGUUGAUUGCACGCACCGCACUAGUAUAUUGCCUUGCAGCACAAGUUGAGGGUGUACACUGUAUAUACAGUCAGCCAUCGCUCACACUAACACCCCACUAAUACGGUCAGUGAGCGUUGAAAAGAGGCAAAAGCAAGAGCAAAAAAGCGGCAAGUACGCAACGAUAGGGACAGCAUUGAUGACGAUAGCUACAGCUAUGGUUGGCUUUGGCUACGAGGAACGCAUACCAAAGUGCUCGUUACACAUAUACAAUGCAUUUGUACAGUAUACAUGUAUAUGUGUGAGUGUAUAGAGUCACUGUCAUCGACAUUGUUAAAAAAUAAGCGAGUGAGAGUCCAUUACAAGGCGUUGAGCGCAACGAAUAAGGUGCAAAAGAAAUUCGGUGAGAAGAGACAAUAUUGUCAGAACAAUUUACUUAGACUACAUUAAUGGCAGCAGUGGUGGCAAUCAAGGCUGCCGUUUAAAAUGCAUAGACAAAAAAUUUAGUAUUGUUUGACAAACAUUGUUUACUAUUAUAGCAGGUUUUUUUCACACUUAUUUCAGUACUUUUUGCCGUUAAAAAUAUUAUAAUGUUUUCAAAAACUUCUUCACUAACUGUCAACUACAUAGGUUAGUUUUUAUCUUGGUGACUCCUAACACAGAAAAAUGAAUCAGUGGGGCUGAACAUUGCACAAAUCAGACGGGGGAGCUCUCUAAAGUUAAUAGCUUACAAAUAGUACAAAAACAAAAUUCUGUGGUAUUUUAACUUUAAUCAGUCUUUAUUUACAUAUAUCGAUCAAAACCAUAUAACGUAGCAUACUCAAGCUGCACAAAUUAUAUCACAAAGUUAAAUGUUAUAACAAAUUAAUAGCAAUGUUGUGUAGAAAAUAUUGCUGACAAUUUUGAAUGCUGCCGAGUUGACAGUCUUUGGUCGGAUAAAAAUGCCGGUCCGUUCCGGUUACGUAGACUGUCGUAGAAACAGCUUUAAAGAUACCUUCACAGAAGUGUCGUUUUUUACUUAGUACUUAACUUCACGUAGUGUAUUACUUAGAAAAUGAAAAAGUGAAACAAUAUCGAAUACUUUCAACAUUUGCUGUGAUAUAAUUUUUACCGGCAAAGCGGCAACACUGGUGAUCACUGCAUCGACGUCAAGACCGAUGUCAACGACUGAAGCAACAGCGGCAAACAAAUCUAUGCUAUAAUUCACCAACAAUAAUAACAAUGUAGAUGUGCAGCCGGCGUCGUUGUUGCAGUGAACAAAACUUCAAGUUAAAAUCAGGUAAUGCAAGUCAAGCGUCUUUAGGCCAUUUGCCAUUUGGUUGUCUACAACUGUAGGUCUCUAAAUGCGCAUGCUGGUCGCCGAACGUUCCUUAGUAAAUAGAAGUGUUAAACGCUUUAUUUAUUUUUUAAUUGAUUUUCAUUUUGCUUAAAAUUAUUUAUAUAUAAGUUUUUCAAUAAUGAAAUAUUUAUUAUAUACUAUGUACUUUAAAAAUAUUUAAUAUACCUUAAAAUAAUGUACAGCGUAUUUCUUGCUUGGAAGACUUUGUGAAAAUGUUAAGAUUAUGGUAUUUACUAUAGUUUUGUUUGCUUACAUAAUAUAUUGUCGUAGAUUUAUAUUUAUACAAAAAGCUAAUGAACAUAAUAUCUAAACGCAAAUUAGCAUUUAAACAUAUUUUCAUCAUUAUGUAAAUUUAAAGAAAAUUGAAUAAAAGUUUCAGCUCACAGACUCAAGUAUUUAUAGGUAAUAAAGAGUCAAAUUAAUCUGUUCCAAUGAUGAGUAAA